ensembl:lncRNA
GCCAGCGUUCUUAAAAGUGGUCCACGACGGUGGGGGUCGAUGAGGGGGACCUGACAACCCGGCAAUUAAUCAGCAAACAGGUGAAUAUUGACACUCUGAAACACGUUGCGAAAAAUCAUAGGAGGCUCGCCCGAGAGGGGCUGGUAGCAUUUUAAAAUAAAAUAGAGCUCGUCUGGGACUGGUAGCUCCCCCGUAGUGGGUAAAGGUAGCGCGCGAAUAAAGGUAUUUAUUGCUUUAUUUUUGUUGGUGGAAUAAGUUGAUUUUACAGCACAAUAAGGAGGCUGAACUAUUCCACUAAUUUGUUUACUGUUGGCCACCCAAGUACUGGUGAAAAGAGAAACAGGUCGUGUUUCAUCACGUAAAGGUGACACCGCUUUCAAGAAUAGCUUGAAAGUAGAAGGCCGUGUCAACUACCUCUCUCGAUUCUCGUGCCAGAGAAGGUGCCGCAGUUGUGUAGUUGUAAAGGAUUAAAAUGGGUAACGAAGCUUCAAAACUCACUGCUGACGAGCAGUGGUUAGAGAAAAUGUCCAGGCGCCGGACAAAUUAGUGCAUGUAGAUGGAGAAAUCCAAAAGAAAACUAUAUGUCCCACGUGGGAGGGAAAAUGUAGCCCCUCCGCAUUGACUAAAUUAAAAGAAAUGUCAGGGUCCUGGGACUGGGCGACCCAGGACCCCUGGGCAGUCAUGGCCCUGUUAUAUUAUUAUGUAUUUUUGGUGUUGCUUCCCCUUCUCUAUGCUUGUACAUAUGUGUGUGUUUGGGUGGCUGUGUGUCUGAGCACUCGUUUAUAGGCGCCUUCAGGCCUGGUGGGUGUGGCCCUGCUAGGGGAUUGACCACACCCGAAGCCACACACCUGCUGCUGAUCAGGCCUCGUCGGGGGAGCUACUUAAGAGAGUCUUGGAGCUCCCACCGACGCGGGAUAAUUGCGUUAGACUCCACGAGAAGUGUGGAGCACCAGACAGCAGCCAGCACGCGGAGUGCUGAGACACGGGAGCGGAGGGCACUGAGACACGACACGGGAGUCAGGGGAAAUCACAGGGGAUUUAUUGUCAUUAUUCCAUUCACUGUAAAUAAACGCACUGUUUAUACACAGAGCACCGCGACUGGGUCCUCCUCAUUCCCCAUAUCCCCACGGUCCGCCAUGCCAGACCGUGACAAGAAACCCUCCAAGCAGAAAUAAAUACUGAAAAGGAUGCUAAAAAGAAAACAAAGCAUACACAAGAGUUGUAAUAUUUUAAAGCAUGGAAAGAGGAAUAAAGUGGAAUAAACAAAAGGUUAAAUUAAAUUAGAGCUUAUCUUUAGGGUAUUCAAACUGAUAAUAGGAAGGAUAACAACCUGUAAACUGGUAUUAACAAUGAAACAUAGUUGGCAUGACGACCGUGCCUAGAAUGAAUAGAAUGCAUGAAACCAGAUGAUUCACACGAAAAUAUAUCAAAUAAGAAAGGGAG